UCCCUGGUGGCCUGGCAGUGAAGGGUUUGGCAUUGUCACUGCUAUGGCUCAGGUUCAAUUCCUGGCCCUGGAA
rnacentral:tRNA from 1 species